rnacentral:rRNA from 1 species
GCUUGUCUCAAAGAUUAAGCCAUCCAUGUCUAAGUGUAAAUACGUCUACACUGUGAAACUGCGAAUGGCUCAUUAAAUCAGUUAUCGUUUAUUUGAUGAUCUCUUGUUACAUGGAUAACCGUAGUAAUUCUAGAGCUAAUACAUGCGUCAAGCCCCGACUUCGGAAGGGGUGUAUUUAUUAGAUUCAAAGCCAAUGGGAGGCGGCCGUCAAAAAGCCGCCACCGUCCUUGAUGGUGACUCUGAAUAACUUUGGCUGAUCGCACGGCUUUAACGCCGGCGACGCAUCUUUUAAAUGUCUGCCUUAUCAACUUUCGAUGGUAGGUUAUGCGCCUACCAUGGUUGCAACGGGUAACGGGGAAUCGGGGUUCGAUUCCGGAGAGGGAGCCUGAGAAACGGCUACCACAUCCAAGGAAGGCAGCAGG